rnacentral:rRNA from 1 species
AAUCAACGCUGGCGGCGUGCCUCAGACAUGCAAGUCGAACGCGAAAGUCCCCUUCGGGGGACAAGUAGAGUGGCGCACGGGUGAGUAACACGUAGGUAAUCCACCUUCGGAUGGGGAAUAACAACCGGAAACGGUUGCUAAUACCGCAUAAUGCAGCGGCACCUAAUGGUGACAGUUGUUAAAGCGGGGGAUCGAAAGACCUCGCGUCUGAAGAGGAGCCUGCGGCGGAUUAGCUAGUUGGUAAGGUAACGGCUUACCAAGGCGACGAUCCGUAGCCGGCCUGAGAGGGCGGUCGGCCACACUGACACUGACAUACGGGUCAGACUCCUACGGGAGGCAGCAGUCGGGAAUUUUGGGCAAUGGGCGAAAGCCUGACCCAGCAACGCCG